AUUGAACGCUGGCGGCAGGCCUAACACAUGCAAGUCGAACGAGUGGCGGACGGGUGAGUAAUGUCUGGGAAACUGCCUGAUGGAGGGGGAUAACUACUGGAAACGGUAGCUAAUACCGCAUACCAUCAGAUGUGCCCAGAUGGGAUUAGCUUGUUGGUGGGGUAACGGCUCACCAAGGCGACGAUCCCUAGCUGGUCUGAGAGGAUGACCAGCCACACUGGAGAUGAGACACGGGCCAGACUCCGACGGGAGGCAGAAUGGGGGAAUAUUGCGCAAUGGGGGCAAGACUGAUGUAGACAUGCGGCGUGUAUGAAGAAGGCCUUCGGGUGGUAAAGUACUUUUAGAGGGGAGGCGUGACACGCAGAAGAAGAACCGGCUAGAUCCGUGCCAGCAGCCGCGUAAUAC
rnacentral:rRNA from 1 species